GACGAAACACUUAUGUUCUUGCAAAUAUCCUAAUCCUGCCUGAUGUUGGAAGCUAAUUAGAGUCAGCCCUGGUUUGUAUUUGGAUGGGAGUCAGUCAACAAAUGCCAGGUGUUUUCGGCU
rnacentral:rRNA from 11 species